AACGAACGCUGGCGGCAGGCUUAACACAUGCAAGUCGAACGAGAUCUUCGGAUCUAGUGGCAGACGGGUGAGGAACACGUGGGAACAUCCCUUUCAGUUCGGAAUAACGUUGGGAAACUAACGCUAAUACCGGAUACGUCCUUCGGGAGAAAGAUUUAUCGCUGAAAGAUUGGCCCGCGUCUGAUUAGCUAGUUGGUGAGGUAACGGCUCACCAAGGCUACGAUCAGUAGCUGAUCUGAGAGGAUGAUCAGCCACAUUGGGACUGAGACACGGCCCAGGCUCCUACGGGAGGCAGCCGUGGGGAAUAUUGGACAAUGGGCGCAAGCCUGAUCCAGCCAUGCCGCGUGAGUGAUGAAGGCCUUCGGGUUGUAAAGCUCUUUUGUCCGGGAAGAUAAUGACUGUACCGGAAGAAUAAGCCCCGGCAAACUUCGUGCCAGCCGCCGCGGUAA
rnacentral:rRNA from 1 species